GAUGAACGCUGGCUACAGGCUUAACACAUGCAAGUCGAGAGGAAACGACGGGGAAGCUUGCUUCCCCGGGCGUCGACCGGCGCACGGGUGAGUAACGCGUAUCCAACCUGCCUCUGACUGAGGGAUAACCCGUCGAAAGUCGGCCUAAUACCUCAUGGCAUCGUCUGCGGGCAUCCAACGACGAUUAAAGAUUUCAUCGGUCAGAGAUGGGGAUGCGUCUGAUUAGCUUGUUGGCGGGGUAACGGCCCACCAAGGCGACGAUCAGUAGGGGUUCUGAGAGGAAGGUCCCCCACAUUGGAACUGAGACACGGUCCAAACUCCUACGGGAGGCAGCAGUGAGGAAUAUUGGUCAAUGGGCGAGAGCCUGAACCAGCCAAGUAGCGUGCAGGAUGACGGCCCUAUGGGUUGUAAACUGCUUUUAUGCGGGGAUAAAGUGAGGGACGUGUCCUUCAUUGCAGGUACCGCAUGAAUAAGGACCGGCUAAUUCCGUG
rnacentral:rRNA from 1 species